rnacentral:rRNA from 1 species
AACGCACCUUGCGCCCUUUGGUAUUCCGAAGGGCAUGCCUGUUUGAGUGUCAUUAAAUUAUCAACCUUGCUCGCUUUUACCGGCUUGAGUUAGGCUUGGAUGUGAGGGCUUUGCUGGCUUCCUUCAGUGGAUGGUCUGCUCCCUUUAAAUGCAUUAGUGGGACGUUGAUUUGCAGCAUAUAUGCGGUGUGAUAAUUGUCUUCACUGUGUAGCUCAAGUUGAACUGGCUUCUAAUUGUCCUUCGCGGGACGAACACUUUGACCAUUAGACCUCAAAUCAGGUAGGACUACCCGCUGAACUUAA